CACAUUAUCAACUAAUAGCACGAUUUUCUAGCAUUUCAAUCCAUAACGACUAAUAUGACCCGGUAGCAACAAUAUUCAAAUGACAGCAAUAUGCAACCCAGUACCGUACGCUACACAAAUCACUGAAUAAGUCAUCAGUUGGCUGAUGAAUUAUGAGAAACUUUUUAACCCUAACCCAACAAAAACUGCAACCUUCUCUUGUAGUUUAAAAUAUCAACAACCAGUUGCCUAUGUUGCAUACAGCGGAAAACUUAAACUCAGUUGUAGCUCGUUUUGUAGAAAAUAGUGCACUAAUUAUCAUUGUAUCUAACCAUGUGAUUGAAUUUCUUGGAAAGUAAAAUAGUCUUGUAAAUGGGGCGGUCCAGUGGCCUAGGCGAUAACGGCGCCGGUGUUCACACGGCAGGACAAGGGUUCAAAUCCCAUCCAGACGGCCUCCCCGUGCGUAAGGCUGACUACUUUACUAAGGGUAAAAUCAAGUCACAGAAUGCCAGAAAUGGCCUCUCGAGGUUGUAGUGCCAAGGAAAAAAAUAUAGUCUUCUGAUACAUUUGCGCAUUAUUAUAUUUGCACCUUCUUGCACACGCAUUAGCCGUGGCCUGGAGAACUGGAUGGAAUGGUGCCAGCUCUUACCUCUCAUCAUCUGGAUGAUAGUGUAAGAUGUCUAUUGGCAAGUGCACAUGAUAUAUCGAACAAAGGCUCUCACCUAUCAUGCAAAUGAUAGUGUGAGAAGCCGAUCGAUGAAUGCAUAUGGUCUCCAGGUCACGGCCGAUACGCUUCUGCCUGCCGUUACGUUACCUAACCACAGCAAGAUACUCGGCCCAACGAACGGGGAACGAUCUGUACAAAAUUCGUAACCGUUCCUGUCAUCGUAUUAAAGACCAGCGCCACCGUAACCAGCUAUACUCAUAGGAUGCAAAAAGAAUAAUCUGGAAUAUUUUAAAUUUAAACUUCUAGCCAUGAUUCAAUAAUUAUCCACAUUGCAAUUGCAUUUUAUGUAACAGACGAUUAUUAAGCAUUCUUUCACAAUCAAAGAAAUGGUUAGAUGCGAUGAAAAUUAAUGUACUGUUUCCUACAAAUCGAGUUUCAGUUAAGUGUCUUUUUCCCCUUCCAUGCUACUUGUGCAUCUGAUUAUUGGUUUUUUAGACUAUGCAAAACAUUAGAACGUUGCUGUUUUUGUUUGGUUAGGGCUAAGACGUUUCUAAUCAUUCAUCAGCUAACUGAAAACUUAUUGUGUGAUAAGCGUAGCUUACGGCACCGUGUUGCGGAAGCUAUCGUUUGAAUUUUGCGUUUUCUGGGUUUUGUUGGCUCAUUCUUCGGGAGUUUUUGAGCAAAGCAUUAACAUCACUUACUAAAUACGUCCUUUUCUCUUUUAACUAUACUUCCAUGCACCCAUCGAGUUUCUUGCGUUUGGAGCACAUGUGGACACAAACCAUCACAAGCGGCAAACAAAGGUAUACCCAAAAAUCCUACCAACUAUAACUACCAUCUCAAACCCCACUACAUACUUUCUUUUUCCUUUUUUUCUUCUUUUUUUUACAUUAAAUGCACUCAACUAUCAUUUCUUGGACUCACUGCGAUGGCAAUGCGUGCUGGCAAGCCUGGAUUAAGUCAACUCGAGGAGGGGUUUACUGGGCAAGACAUCGAUUGUAACACUUGUAUCGAGUGAUUGUGAUCGAUGAAUCCCACAUUUCUCGUGGAUGGUUGGUUGAUCCAGGUUGUAUUAUGAAGAUAUCCCUCCUAGUAAAAAAAUCAGUUAUAUUAAAUAUUACAUAAUUAUAGCAAGAUUCUACCUAAUUCUGCCUUACCAUUUACAGGAGCAGUGCUGUGAAACUUUGAGAACGAAUGCGCCUAACACAUCGCUCGUUUUUAUGGACACUCGAAUAAUCUUUCAGGAGAAUAUACAUUUGAGUUAUCAUCAACAAAAAUACGGAAUGGACGGGAUGGACGCUUAAGGCAACCAGAAUUAUUUGCAUGUUUAAGCAAAUGGAUGGAUUUGUAAUUUAGAACUUAGCUUCCAGGAAAAGAAGAUCUUCUACACUAUCCACAGAGCGGAAUCGUCCCGGUUUGUUAGGCUGGCUAGUGUUAGCUAGUGGUUGCUUCUUGCCCAUGAAUUCUUCCACCAAUCCGGCUAUAUAUUCUACUCUGCCACUGAGCUGCCGAAUUUCCUGAGUAAUUAUGUCCUGCCGGACCUGGACGUUCGCAAGCAUUCGGCGCAUGGAUUGAAAUUCCUGCGCCGAACCCGUCGCGGAUGAUGAUACCGGCACAUUGUUGUUGCAGUCGGAAUUUUGCUUGGAAUCCAUCUAAAAUUGAAAAGAGCGUAGUUAGGGACAUCUUAACUUUCCACUGUGUUAUUUAAAACAGUUUUUUCUUGCCUUUUUGCGAAAAUUAUCGGAACACUCGUCACAAGACUAUCCUGAACCAGAACUAAAGCAAAAUGAAAUGUUCACCAUUCUUCGAAUUUGAAUUUUGACAGAAGAAUAAAUGUAUGCGAAAGCAAAACAAUAUCACAACGACA